GGGUGGGUGACUGGCAACGGAAGCUCA
rnacentral:misc_RNA from 1 species